rnacentral:tRNA from 4 species
GGCGACGUAGCCAAGUGGUUAAGGCGGGGGUCUGCAAAAUCCCUAUGCGUGGGUUCGAAUCCCACCGUCGCCUCCA